UUUCAUGAUUUUGAUGCUUUACCUUUAAUGAUUAUGCUUAAUUAGUAGGGUUACUGAUUGAGUUGAUUGUGAUCGACCGACACUCACACUCUCCCUCUCUCUCACUCACACUCUCACUCUCUCUGUCGGCCGAACCCAGCAACAAACAGAGCACGGUUUCUCCAAUCUCUCUCUAGCACCACAGACCACCAAAUGACACCGGACCACGUCCUACGCCUUCACCUCUUCCUUGCGCAGCUGCCGGUGGUAUCUUUUGGCCGUCUCGUGAGCCGUACACGGCGGUGGAGCACGAGGCCGGUUUAACCCGAUUUGGUCCCGAGCUUGAUAACUCGAGCUACAAGCCACCAAUCCUUGCCAAACUCCAUCCUCAGGUUCGUCUCAACCUUCUGAAACUCCCAGAAGCACCCUUGCACGGCGGCGCGGCUCGUAGCAGCUGCUGAAGUCAACCCCGAGCUAGAUCGAACGGAACUUUCGAUCCAGAUAUCUCAAGCUGUGGAGCUUCGUUUCGAGUGAUUCUUGAAUUGGUAAACUCACCUUGAGUUUCUGAACAAAUCUCCAGAAGGAAUCGAAGCGAUUUGUGGAAGUUUUUACGUGGAUCGGAGCACUUGCCGGAUUCUGCAAAAUUCUGGAAUUUUUCCGACCACCGAAGCUUUCGAUCAAUAUAUCUCGAGCUACAGACCCUAUUUUUCUGUGAUUCUUGAACCAAUGAGUCCGUCUUGAGUUUCUUAACAACUCUCUAGAAGGAAUCGAAGCCUGAAAUUGAAGUUUUGACGUCGAAAUCAAGCCUUGCCGGAUUCUGCAAAAUUCUGGAAUUUUUCCGACCACCGAAGCUUUCGAUCGGUAUAUCUCGAGCUACAGACCAUAUUUUUCUGUGAUUCUUGAACCAGUGAGUUCUUCUUGAGUUUCUUAACAACUCUUCAGAAGGAAUCGAAGCCUUAAAUUGACGUUUUUACGUCGAAUUGGAGCUCGCCGUUUUCUGCAGUUUCUCGCCGGUUUCUGGAAAAUUCCGGCCACCUUCAUACUGUUCAAGGUGAUCGACGGUUUGAUUUGGCGGACGAUUCGUGAAAUUGUAUUUUGAGCUGUUAAGAAGACGCAGCGGGAAUUUAGAGCGGGUAAUCCUACAGGACAGGAGAACCAGGACGGUGAUCGUGCGGUUAGAGCAAUGGUUAUAGUUUUACAGCAAUUGUAUUAGUGAGGCGAGUUAAGCUCAUUUGAGCAUUACAAUUUGAUUUGGUGGGAGUGUGCUGUAAUAAAUAACUUGAGGAUUUGGGUUAUUGUAAAUUUGAGAGUUGUGAAGUGUGGUUGUUUGUGAGAAAAAAAUUCAGGAUGUUAGUUGUAAUUUGUUAUUAUUCAUG